GCGGGUGUAUUCUAGCCUGGUAGGAAUCUGGCUUCCCAAGCCAGCAGCCCGGGUUCAAAUCCCGGUACCCGCA
rnacentral:tRNA from 1 species